UCUGCACUCGAGCCGCAGGACUGCCGACCCGAGGCGGAGGCAACUCCCUGCCCACCCGUGGAGCUCCAGACACGUUCCCGAGGCCACCAUGACCCUAAGGGCAUCAAAGGAGGAACCAGAUGUCCUUUCUUCUCCUCUGUGCGCCCGUGGGACGGCAGAGCCCGGCAUCAUGCUGUGUGCUCAGGUCCCCUGUGAGAUCCGCGUGUGUGAGGCCUGACUCUCCCAGACAGCUGCCAGCCUGACCUAGGAGGUGAAGGUGCCCUUGGAAACGCCAUCGCCUUAUUGACGUCAGGAUCCUGGGCACAGGGGGCUGGGAGAAAGGAUCGCUGUGUUCCAACGGUGUUCCCGAGGGUCCCUUUUCAGAGUGCAGCAAGUUCCUGGGACGGCACUGAGAGGAGGGAGUUUCCGAGUGCUUCUGGAUGGUCUGACCACGCGGGAAGCAGCCUUGCAGAUAAGUAUUCAGACUUACCAGCCCGCAGCCUGCCAGCCCGCCCCGGCUGGUCUGUGCGGGAAAAUGCAGCGUCCCAGAGCCCCCAGGAGGGAGGUGAAAUUGGUGAUGUAGCUCGUUCACCUUUCUACCUCUAUGCCACAAAUAAAGAGCUGGUCCCCACUUUACGGGCCCCCACAAUGGGUAAUUUUCACACCCCACUGUUGGCAUCGAGGCUAGUGUUUUACAAACUCCACCAUCAGGAACUUCUGAGGGGCUGAGUUUAAUGACUUCAUCUCGAGUACGGUAGAGCUGGUGUCAAGUCAGAAGGCGGUGGGGACUCCUGGUGGUUGGGGCUGGCCCUUCUCUCCCCAGUCCUGGCCCUUGGUUAUCAGAGUUAUAAACCUCGGUCAGGGUUCCUUUGCUUAGCAGUCAAGUGGGGACCUCAGCACGGUGCCUGUCGGGCACAUUCUUCUCAGUGCAAGGGGCUAAGUGCCCUUGUCCCAGGUCCUGGACCCAUGUCCCAAUCCUGGGUGCUGACAGCAAGCUCUGAAAAUAUGCUUGGAGGGCCACCGACUCUCCUGGCCCAGCUCUGCCAGUCCAUGCAGCUAGCUUAGCUGUCACCAAAAGUAAAACUUGGGAGAUGGUUAGGUCAGAAUUAAUGGGCAUUUGAGGGUGGGGGAGCAGAAAAAUAACUGGCUGAGCACAAGGGGGCCUGCUCUUUCCCACCUACUGCCUCAAACUCUGGGCUACUAUUGUGCACCCUGGGUGACUGUCAGGGCCCGGAGGGUCCCACAGCCCAGAGGGAGGAACAGAUUUUCCAGGGCUACACAGCAUAGCAGGUUUGGGAUCAGAAUUCCCGAUUCCUGACUCUGUUCAGUUUUUCCUGGGUCCUGUUCUGCCAUUAUGGGGACCAGGGAGGUGGGUGAAGGACAUUUUGGGGUGGGACGGAGGGAAGUGGAGGGUGGUCUGCCUGGGCCCAGCCUCUGUGGCUCUCGAACCUUCUUCUUGUUAGCGGAAUGUCCUGCCCAGGCCCGGGGCCUGGUUGCGGUUUUCUCCUGCAGUGUGGUUGGCUCUUUUGUCUUCCAGGAUGGGCCUGUGGGGGUCUAUGUGGCAGCCGGGAGCUGGGCCCUGGGCUGCCAAUGUGUUGGCUGGGCGCUGCCAGCACAAACUCGGACCAAGCCCCUCUCCCAGCCUGAUGAUCCAGAGGUGACACCAGAGACGUGGCCUGCCUCUCAGAUCAUCACGUGGUUCCUCACGUCCAGGGCUCCCAGCCUGGUCUUGUCUUCGGAGCCUGGGUGACUCAGGCCACAGGGACACGGGAGCAGCCUUCGGUGGGUUUCUGGAACCCUGGACAAUUCUCCCAAGACCCUGUUCUUCCAAACUCCUGGGAUGGAGCCUCUUGUGGAUGGAUAACGGGCCCUCCUGGUCCAUGGUCAGCGAAAUCAGGACCUGGCUGGGGAGGCCAGCUCCGGGGUGUGAGGGCGGCCAGCAGCUCGCUGUCCCCUCCUGGGCCUUGAGGUCACUUCCUGGCCUUGUGCAGCCUUGGUCCCUCCUUGAAUCUCUGCUGAUGAUCAGACAGAGGCCCCGACCACACCCUCCCUGAAGCCGGGUCCCAAAGAUGCUAUGGAUGGGGGCAGGAACCUGGGACAGAGCUGCCAGCGGGAAGGAGGGGGGGAGCGCAGACCAGCUCAGCGGGCGCUGUCGCUGGAGUCUAUCUUAUGCCACUUGCUUGCUGAAGGGUGAUUCUCAUUUGGGGGGUGCUUUUUGGAUGGGGAUUUUCCUGCUUCUUUCUGAUGGUCGCUGGGAGGAGGCAGUCGGUCUGGGAGGAGCCUGGGUUUUUCCCCAUGCUGUUGGGCUCUGGGAGGGGCAACUGUGUGUAUGUGUGGGGGGGGCUAUGGGUGUGCCAUCCUGAAAGGGGACAGUUUGUUUCCAAGAGAGGGGGAGACCCAGGCCAGGGGAUUCACCAGAAGGAGACAGACACUGGCUUGUUCCCACCAUCCAAAGGGAGCGGGCUGGGUCUCAGACCCCUGCUUCUUGCUGUAAGGAUCUUCGAUUUUACAGCUGGGGGGCAAAGGCAGGCAGGGCAGGCCCCACACACGUGCAGUUCCCCCUUCACACCGGUUUGCUUCCAGCCACCUCUCCUUUCUUCAUCCAGCCCCUUCCAGAAGGGCUGGUCCCAGUGUUUGCCCUGGACCAGCCGUGGUACGUCCUUAGGCAAGUUCAAAACUAGAUGUUUUCCCA